rnacentral:rRNA from 1 species
AUUGAACGCUGGCGGCAGGCCUAACACAUGCAAGUCGAGCGGAUGAAGGGAGCUUGCUCCUGGAUUCAGCGGUGGACGGGUGAGUAAUGCCUAGGAAUCUGCCUGGUAGUGGGGGAUAACGUCCGGAAACGGGCGCUAAUACCGCAUACGUCCUGAGGGAGAAAGUGGGGGAUCUUCGGACCUCACGCUAUCAGAUGAGCCUAGGUCGGAUUAGCUAGUUGGUGGGGUAAAGGCCUACCAAGGCGACGAUCCGUAACUGGUCUGAGAGGAUGAUCAGUCACACUGGAACUGAGACACGGUCCAGACUCCUACGGGAGGCAGCAGUGGGGAAUAUUGGACAAUGGGCGAAAGCCUGAUCCAGCCAUGCCGCGUGUGUGAAGAAGGUCUUCGGAUUGAAAAGCACUUUAAGUUGGGAGGAAGGGCAGUAAGUUAAUACCUUGCUGUUUUGACGUUACCAACAGAAUGAGCACCGGCUAACUUCGUG